GGCGGACGGGUGAGUAACGCGUAAAGAACUUGCCCUUUAGACUGGGAUAACAGAGGGAAACUUCUGAUAAUACUGGAUAAGUUAGUAUAUCGCAUGAUAUACAAAUGAAAGCUACGGCACUAAAGGAGAGCUUUGCGUCCUAUUAGCUAGUUGGUAAGGUAAGAGCUUACCAAGGCGAUGAUAGGUAGCCGGCCUGAGAGGGUGGACGGCCACAAGGGGACUGAGAUACGGCCCUUACUCCUACGGGAGGCAGCAGCG
rnacentral:rRNA from 1 species